rnacentral:rRNA from 1 species
AUACAGAGGGUGCGAGCGUUAAUCGGAAUUACUGGGCGUAAAGCGCGCGUAGGCGGUCUAUUAAGUCAGAUGUGAAAUCCCAGGGCUCAACCUUGGAACUGCAUCUGAUACUGGUAGACUCGAGUUUUGGAGAGGGAAGUAGAAUUUCAGGUGUAGCGGUGAAAUGCAUAGAGAUCUGAAGGAAUACCAGUGGCGAAGGCGACUUCCUGGCCAAAAACUGACGCUGAGGUGCGAAAGCGUGGGUAGCAAACGGGAUUAGAAACCCUAGUAGUCC